UACGAAGGGGGCUAGCGUUGUUCGGAAUCACUGGGCGUAAAGCGUGCGCAGGCGGCGCCGCAAGUCGAGUGUGAAAUCCCCGAGCUUAACUUGGGAAUUGCGCUCGAAACUACGAUGCUGGAGUGUGGCAGAGGGAGGUGGAAUUCCACGUGUAGCGGUGAAAUGCGUAGAGAUGUGGAGGAACACCGAUGGCGAAGGCAGCCUCCUGGGCCAACACUGACGCUCAUGCACGAAAGCGUGGGGAGCAAACAGG
rnacentral:rRNA from 1 species